ACAGGUGCCUGAGAAACAAAGCCGCAGAUCGCUCCACCGCUGUGCGCAGCCCCCUGCUGAGGGGCCAGCGGCUCUCCCUGGGACCCCAGAACCUUAACACAAUUCUGAGGUGGAAGAAAUGGGGAACACCAGGCCUGGCCUCAUGGAGACCGGGGAGUCAGAACCUGAGCUCUGGCUCCUGGAGCUGCUGCGAGUGAGUGGUGGAAACCUGCCCCCUUAGAGAAGCUGCAGCUGAUCAGCAUCAUGCAAGGGACUGCUGAGAUGGUAGCAUGCUGGUAAUGAAGUGUUAUGGAGCCACUCCAUCCUUUAUUCAUCCUUUUCCUCAUACACACAGAGAGCAAAGCACAGGAACCAGCUACAGAAUUUGCAAGUGGAGAAUCCAGGUACCUUUAAAAGUCUAUUUAGUGAAAAUCUCUGGCUAUUGAUGUGACGGUUAAUUUUAUGUGCCAACUUGGCUAGGCCAUGGUACCCAGUUUUUCAUAAAAGAUCAGUCUAGAUGUUGUGAAGGUAUAUUUUUAAAUGUGAUUAACAUUUUAUUCAGUGGACUUCAAGUAAAGCAGAUUAUCCUCCAUAUAGUGGGUGGGCCUUCUCCAAUCAGGCCUUAAGAGCAAAGACCAUGGUUUCUCAAAGAAAGAAUUUUCCUCAAGACUGCAACAUAGAGACCUUGCCUGAGUUUCCAGCCUGAUACCCUGAAGAAUUUGGACUCAAGACUGCAAUAUCAGCUCUUUCCUGAAUUUCUAGCCUGCUGGCCUGCCCUACAGAUUUUAGAUCUCCCAGCCCAAUUGCAUGAGCUAAUUCCUUAAAAUAAAUAAAUCUCUGUGUGUGUA